rnacentral:rRNA from 1 species
GACGAACGCUGGCGGCGUGCUUAACACAUGCAAGUCGAACGGAAAGGCCCUGCUUUUGUGGGGUGCUCGAGUGGCGAACGGGUGAGUAACACGUGAGUAACCUGCCCUUGACUUUGGGAUAACUUCAGGAAACUGGGGCUAAUACCGGAUAGGAGCUCCUGCUGCAUGGUGGGGGUUGGAAAGUUUCGGCGGUUGGGGAUGGACUCGCGGCUUAUCAGCUUGUUGGUGGGGUCGUGGCUUACCAAGGCUUUGACGGGUAGCCGGCCUGAGAGGGUGACCGGCCACAUUGGGACUGAGAUACGGCCCAGACUCCUUCGGGAGGCAGCAGUGGGGAAUAUUGCACAAUGGGCGGAAGCCUGAUGCAGCAACGCCGCGUGCGGGAUGACGGCCUUCGGGUUGUAAACCGCUUUCGCCUGUGACGAAGCGUGAGUGACGGUAAUGGGUAAAGAAGCACCGGCUAACUACGUG